GGGUUGUGAGGUUAAGCGAAUAAGCGUACACGGUGGAUGCCUAGGCAAUCAGAGGCGAUGAAGGACGUGCUAAUCUGCGAUAAGCGUCGGUAAGGUGAUAUGAACCGUUAUACCCGACGAUUUCCGAAUGGGGAAACCCAAUAUCCAAUGGAUAUUAUCAUGACGUGAAUACAUAGCGUCAUGAAGCGAACCGGGAGAACUGAAACAUCUCAGUACCCCGAGGAAAAGAAAUCAACCGAGAUUCCCCUAGUAGCGGCGAGCGAACGGGGAACAGCCCAGAGUCUUAAUCAACAGCAGCAUCAGGAGAACGGUCUGGAAAGUCCGGCAGUAAAGGGUGAUAGCCCCGUAUCUGAAGAUGCUGUUAUUGUGAACUCGAUGAGUAGGGCGGGACACGUGUUAUCCUGUCUGAAUAUGGGGGGACCAUCCUCCAAGGCUAAAUACUCCUGAUUGACCGAUAGUGAACCAGUACCGUGAGGGAAAGGCGAAAAGAACCCCGGCGAGGGGAGUGAAAAAGAACCUGAAACCGUGUACGUACAAGCAGUAGGAGCCUCUUUAUGGGGUGACUGCGUACCUUUUGUAUAAUGGGUCAGCGACUUAUAUUCUGUAGCAAGGUUAACCGUAUAGGGGAGCCGUAGGGAAACCGAGUCUUAACUGGGCGAAUGAGUUGCAGGGUAUAGACCCGAAACCCGGUGAUCUAUCCAUGGGCAGGUUGAAGGUUGGGUAACACUAACUGGAGGACCGAACCGACUAAUGUUGAAAAAUUAGCGGAUGACUUGUGGAUGGGGGUGAAAGGCCAAUCAAACCGGGAGAUAGCUGGUUCUCCCCGAAAGCUAUUUAGGUAGCGCCUCGUGAACUCAUCUUCGGGGGUAGAGCACUGUUUCGACUAGGGGGUCAUCCCGACUUACCAACUCGAUGCAAACUGCGAAUACCGAAGAAUGUUAUCACGGGAGACACACGGCGGGUGCUAACGUCCGUCGUGAAGAGGGAAACAACCCAGACCGCCAGCUAAGGUCCCAAAGUCAUGGUUAAGUGGGAAACGAAGUGGGAAGGCUCAGACAGCCAGGAUGUUGGCUUAGAAGCAGCCAUCAUUUAAAGAAAGCGUAAUAGCUCACUGGUCGAGUCGGCCCGCGCGGAAGAUGUAACGGGGCUAAACCAUGCACCGAAGCUGCGGCAGCGACACUAUGUGUUGUUGGGUAGGGGAGCGUUCUGUAAGCCUGCGAAGGUGUACUGUGAGGUAUGCUGGAGGUAUCAGAAGUGCGAAUGCUGACAUAAGUAACGAUAAUGCGGGUGAAAAACCCGCACGCCGGAAGACCAAGGGUUCCUGUCCAACGUUAAUCGGGGCAGGGUGAGUCGACCCCUAAGGCGAGGCUGAAAAGCGUAGUCGAUGGGAAACGGGUUAAUAUUCCCGUACUGGUGGUAACUGCGAUGGGGGAACGGAGAAGGCUAGGUUGUCCGGGCGACGGUCGUCCCGGUUCAAGCAUGUAGGCAGAGUGAUUAGGCAAAUCCGGUCACUUAAUGCUGAGGUGUGAUGACGAGCCACUAAGGUGGUGAAGCAAUUGAUGCCCUGCUUCCAGGAAAAGCCUCUAAGCUUCAGGUUACCAACAAUCGUACCCCAAACCGACACAGGUGGUCAGGUAGAGAAUACUCAGGCGCUUGAGAGAACUCGGGUGAAGGAACUAGGCAAAAUGGUGCCGUAACUUCGGGAGAAGGCACGCUGGCGGUAAGUGAAGUCCCUCGCGGACGGAGCCGAAGCCAGUCGAAGAUACCAGCUGGCUGCAACUGUUUAUUAAAAACACAGCACUGUGCAAACACGAAAGUGGACGUAUACGGUGUGACGCCUGCCCGGUGCUGGAAGGUUAAUUGAUGGGGUUAUCCGUAAGGAGAAGCUCUUGAUCGAAGCCCCAGUAAACGGCGGCCGUAACUAUAACGGUCCUAAGGUAGCGAAAUUCCUUGUCGGGUAAGUUCCGACCUGCACGAAUGGCGUAAUGAUGGCCAGGCUGUCUCCACCCGAGACUCAGUGAAAUUGAACUCGCUGUGAAGAUGCAGUGUACCCGCGGCAAGACGGAAAGACCCCGUGAACCUUUACUAUAGCUUGACACUGAACAUUGAGCCUUGAUGUGUAGGAUAGGUGGGAGACUUUGAAGUGUGGACGCCAGUCUGCAUGGAGUCAACCUUGAAAUACCACCCUUUAACGUUUGAUGUUCUAACCUAGGUCCAUAAUCUGGAUCGGGGACCGUGUCUGGUGGGUAGUUUGACUGGGGCGGUCUCCUCCUAAAGAGUAACGGAGGAGCACGAAGGUUGGCUAAGCAUGGUCGGACAUCAUGCGGUUAGUGCAAAGGCAUAAGCCAGCUUGACUGUGAGAGUGACGGCUCGAGCAGGUACGAAAGUAGGUCUUAGUGAUCCGGUGGUUCUGAAUGGAAGGGCCAUCGCUCAACGGAUAAAAGGUACUCCGGGGAUAACAGGCUGAUACCGCCCAAGAGUUCAUAUCGACGGCGGUGUUUGGCACCUCGAUGUCGGCUCAUCACAUCCUGGGGCUGAAGUAGGUCCCAAGGGUAUGGCUGUUCGCCAUUUAAAGUGGUACGCGAGCUGGGUUUAGAACGUCGUGAGACAGUUCGGUCCCUAUCUGCCGUGGGCGUUGGAAGAUUGAGAGGGGUUGCUCCUAGUACGAGAGGACCGGAGUGAACGCACCACUGGUGUUCGGGUUGUCAUGCCAAUGGCAUUGCCCGGUAGCUAAGUGCGGAAGAGAUAACCGCUGAAAGCAUCUAAGCGGGAAACUUGCCUCGAGAUGAGUCUUCCCUGUCACCUUGAGUGACCUAAAGGAACGUUUAAGACUAAGACGUUGAUAGGCUGGGUGUGUAAGCGUAGCGAUACGUUGAGCUAACCAGUACUAAUGAACCGUGAGGCUUAACCUGACAACACCGAAGGUGUUU
rnacentral:rRNA from 1 species